CACUUCACAGCAAUCGCUUUUGAAACCGCUUCCUUACUCUGUCAUAGUAGCUUAGCGUCUGUGUGUUAGGUAGCGAAGACAGACUGUCUGCGUUAUGAUUGACUCGCUUGUUUUAAGAUCCCGAGAAAUGACUAUUUUGGAUUUUGGAAAGCUGUGGAAAUGUAACUCAAGUUAUAAAAGAUGGAUUAUACAAAUAUUGUUGCAAAUACAGAAGAAAUUUUGCUAUAAAAAGUGUCGCAACUGCUUAUUGCUGUGCAGGAGAAGAUCGCCACAUUGUGCUAUUCUAUCUAGACAACAAGCAAAAUACUUGCGACUUUUUCCCAAGCAAAACCCAGUCCAAAGGAAAAAAAAAGAACAACCUGCAAAGAUAUGCCAAAUAUAUUCAAAAUAGAGUAAAAUAUGCGAAACUAUGAGCGAAUAUGGAAGGUGCUUGGCUACCUCCCAGCAUGCUUUGAAUUUUAUCACACUCGUGAGAACUAUUGAAUAAAACAUUGGAUGUAUUAAACUCUUAUAUAUUUAAUAUUUUUUAUUUUUGAGUUUUCUUUAUCAGUUUUGUUAUUUUAUCAUUUCCUUUUUUAAUAAAGUGAAAGAUGACCA